rnacentral:lncRNA from 1 species
GUAUUUAUUAUUUUUACAUAAGAAAACAUUUAUAUGAGAAAAAGUAUCAGCAGAGCUUACACAGUGAUAGGAUUAUACAUCAUGAUUUCCUCUUUAAACAUCUUUAUAAUUAUCAAACAUGAGUGAUUAAAAAAACUGAAGCUAAAGGUAGCAAUAUUCUCUAUACUGGCAGAUUUUUCAGCAUUGCAUAUGAACCCACCUCCGGUAAGUGGGUUAUCUUUCUAAUUUAUGACUUCAGUGAAAUCUGUUUCCUGGCAAUGGUUGCCAGGGCACGCCUUCUCUCUUGUUCUCCGUCAUGCUUACUUUUAAGCCUAAGGGCAAGAAAGAAAUAGACAGAAAGCAAGAAGUAGCAUGAGCAUCUUUUUUUUUUUUUUUUUUUUUUUUGGCAUGUUGGAAAAAGGAGCUCUAAACACACUCCACUAAGCAUAGCACAUGCCUUGGAUUCAAGCAGUGGACCUCAAAGAGUAGCGUCUCCUUUUAAGCUUUGCAGGGCAAGUUUGGGGCACUGUCAGUGAAAAAUUGUCACUGCUUCUUGCCUUGGUGCUUGCCUGAACAACAAGGAGUUCUUCUAACUGCCUUAAAAGGAAUCUACUCCUCUCUCCCGCCACAGUGCCAAAUGCAAAUAUUAUUUGAGGAUAUCAAUCCUUAGAGACUCAUUCAAAAGACUUUAAAAAAGAAAAAGCCUCUGAAUUUACGAAACCAAAGCAGCUAUCAGGAUGAUCAGGAGAUGGGGAGACAGAGGAAAGAAAGGAGAGAUCUGUGGAUCCCGUGAGCACCCCAAAUUGGAACCACUCCUUACCGUGUCUCAAGGAAGCAACAGACCUCCAAACUGCAUGGUGUACCUCAAAAGAGCAAGACCCAAGCAAAAAGGGGGAUGGAGAACUGGACGUCGCCCAGAGAAGUUACACCCAGAACAAUUAGUCAUCAGCAACAAACAUUCCAUACAGCACAUCACAGAAGCAAGAACCUCCAAAGUCCAGUGCAGUUAAGAACAGAAGCAGCUGGAAAAAUAGAAAAAGUUGGUAAAGAGUCUACCACAAGGCCACACUUUGAAGAGUGAAAUGAAGAAAUUGAAAAUUCUGUGCAGCUGUAAUUGGAAGCCCUACUGUGAAAAAAGGUCACUCAAAAAUGACAUUGGAUACAAGAAGAGAGCACCAGUGAAUCAGAUGAAGGAAAGCAGAAAAACACACAAACUGGACCAAACCAAAGAUAUUUGCAUCACGUCCUUAAUGGGAAGAAAUCCACUGCACAUGGUAGUGGUUAGAGAUUACUGUCACACUGAAGAUACUGGUUAGUAAACUUGAUAUGGUUC